rnacentral:rRNA from 1 species
CGCGGCCUAUCAGCUUGUUGGUGGGGUGAUGGCCUACCAAGGCGACGACGGGUAGCCGGCCUGAGAGGGUGAUCGGCCACAUUGGGACUGAGAUACGGCCCAGACUCCUACGGGAGGCAGCAGUGGGGAAUAUUGCACAAUGGGCGGAAGCCUGAUGCAGCGACGCCGCGUGAGGGAUGACGGCCUUCGGGUUGUAAACCUCUUUCAGCAGGGACGAAGCGUAAGUGACGGUACCUGCAGAAGAAGCACCGGCUAACUACGUGCCAGCAGCCGCGGUAAUACGUAGGGUGCGAGCGUUGUCCGGAAUUACUGGGCGUAAAGAGCUCGUAGGCGGUUUGUCACGUCGUCUGUGAAAUCCUAGGGCUUAACCCUGGACGUGCAGGCGAUACGGGCUGACUUGAGUACUACAGGGGAGACUGGAAUUUCUGGUGUAGCGGUGGAAUGCACAGAUAUCAGGAAGAACACCGAUGGCGAAGGCAGGUCUCUGGGUAGUAACUGACGCUGAGGAGCGAAAGCAUGGGUAGCGAACAGGAUUAGAUACCCUGGUAGUCCAUGCCGUAAACGGUGGGCGCUAGGUGUGGGGUUCCUUCCACGGGCUCCGCGCCGUAGCUAACGCAUUAAGCGCCCCGCCUGGGGAGUACGA